UUCCGGUUGAUCCUGCCGGAGGCCAUUGCUAUCGGAGUUCGAUUUAGCCAUGCUAGUCGCACGAGUUCAGACUCGUGGCGGAUAGCUCAGUAACACGUGGUCAAACUACCCUAUAGACCAGCAUAACCUCGGGAAACUGAGGCUAAUACUGGAUAAAGCUCCCUUGCUGGAAUGCAGGGAGCUGGAAAUGCUCCGGCGCUAUAGGAUGUGGCUGCGGCCGAUUAGGUAGACGGUGGGGUAACGGCCCACCGUGCCGAUAAUCGGUACGGGUUGUGAGAGCAAGAGCCCGGAGAUGGAUUCUGAGACAAGAAUCCAGGCCCUACGGGGCGCAGCAGGCGCGAAAACUUUACACUGCACGACAGUGCGAUAAGGGAACUCCGAGUGCGAGGGCAUAUAGUCCUCGCUUUUGUGUAUCGUAAGGUGGUACACGAAUAAGAGCUGGGCAAGACCGGUGCCAGCCGCCGCGGUAAUACCGGCAGCUCAAGUGAUGGCCGCUUUUAUUGGGCCUAAAGCGUCCGUAGCCGGCCAGACAAGUCCGUCGGGAAAUCCACCUGCUCAACAGGUGGGCGUCCGGCGGAAACUCUCUGGCUUGGGACCAGAAGACCCGAGGGGUACGUCCGGGGUAGGAGUGAAAUCCCGUAAUCCUGGACGGACCACCGAUAGCGAAGGCACCUCGGGAGGAUGGAUCCGACGGUGAGGGACGAAAGCUGGGGUCUCGAACCGGAUUAGAUACCCGGGUAGUCCCAGCCGUAAACGAUGUCCGCUAGGUGUGGCACAGGCUACGAGCCUGUGCUGUGCCGUAGGGAAGCCGAGAAGCGGACCGCCUGGGAAGUACGUCCGCAAGGAUGAAACUUAAAGGAAUUGGCGGGGGAGCACUACAACCGGAGGAGCCUG
rnacentral:rRNA from 1 species